rnacentral:lncRNA from 1 species
AAAACAAGCAAAUGAGCCAACUUUGACCACGCAUGCUCCGUCAGCGUGCGCCUUUCUCGCCCAAGCUUUUCUCCUAGUAAGUUGGAAAACUCGGCGCAAAAAGCGACGAAGUAGCCCCGCAGUUAAACCAAUCAUUCGAGGAAAGCUGUCUCAUAUUUAAGAUGCCUGUGGUAUCUGAGUGAAGGAAUCAGCCAACAGAGAUGUGAGUGUCUGGAGUGUUUCUGCAUGGCAGCAGCUGGAAGACAGAGGCAAAACAGUACACAGACCUGAGACCAGCUGGGGAGUCCAGCAGCCUUGUAUGGUGAGUCACUGCCAUGUACACCAGUCUACCCACUGGACUUCUGCUGACCAUUAUAUUUACCUGAUUCAGUUGGAUGUGUGCAUCAUCUCUAAAGAAAGACC